rnacentral:misc_RNA from 1 species
CAAGAAGCCGAAAGGCUACUUAAAACCAUCGCGAACUUACCCAAGUUGCUUCGGCGGCGCGGCUCCCCUCACGGGGGACCGCAGCCCCCGCCUCUCAGGAGGUAAGGGGCAGCCGCCGGAGGUACGAAACUCUGUAUUAUAGUGGUAUCUCUGAGUAUAAAACAAAUAAGUUA